rnacentral:lncRNA from 1 species
CAAAGUUCAUUGACCACUGCGACCAAAGAAGCAACACAUCGGCCACGGCUUCUCUUGCAACACCGCUUGCAGAAGCAAUGGUGAAGACUGGUGAUGACUCAAGCCUUCUCAUCGGAGAUUUCUUCAAUUAUCUAUCCUGUUUUACUUCGUCAGAAAACGAUCUAACUGCUCUCAUCGCCGGAACAGCGGAGGUUUGUGGUGGUUUUUUAGGUAAUUUUUAGAUGGUUUUUCGUGGUUUUUAAGUUGAUUUUGCUAUGGUUUUGAGGUGGUUUUGGCAGUGUUUUGAGAAAUACAGAAAAAUUACCAAAAUUCGACGUUGAUCUAUUGGAAUUCCCUUUAAACUGAGAGUAUCUGGAAGCUGAAUUAUCUCAUGGUGGUGGUGUGCUGGGAGUGCUUUGUGCAGUGGUGCUGUGGCGGUCUUUCGGGUGUUGUGGUGGUGGUACUUGUGGGGACAGUGGAAUAGCUGCAGUGGUGCUCAUGGUGGUACUGGGGGUACGAUGAUUUUCUGAUAUGUUGUUCUAUGGUGGUGAUGGUGAGUUGUGGCUUGAUAUUGAUUUGGUCAUAGACAGUCACUCUGAAUAUAAUUUUGAUCACAGUUAGUCACACUGAAGGCAGAGUUGGUCACAGUUAAUUACGUGUAUAUGGUGUGUACAGAUUUGUUUAUGGUGACCCUAUACGACCAUGUGUUUGUUGUGACUGUUUAUGACCAAUUUUGUAUUGAUUGUUACCAGUUGUGACAAAUUCUGUAUUGAUUAUGAUCAGUUCUGACUUUGAGAUUGGCAUAGUCACAGACAGUCACACUAAAUACAAAUUUGGUCACAAUUAAUCACAAAUGACACAGGUAAGGUCACAGAUGUCACAGGUGCAAAUCUGAUCACUUACAAUGCACCAUUACGACUAUCACAGUUUUUUGGAGAUUUUUCAACAAUGGGGUGUAGAGAGAGAAAUUAUUUUCAAAUUUUGGAGAUUUUUCUAAUGGUGAGCCGAAGCAGUACCUGGAAUAGUUGUCGGAGUAAGCGCUGAAGUGGUCAUUGGAGCAGUUUGCUGGAGUGGUCGUCGGAGCAGUUUGCCGGGGUGAUCGUCAAAAUAGUUGCUAAAACGACCAUCGGAGUGAUCACUAGAACAAUUGCCGGAGCCGUUGCUGGAGUGAUCGCCAGAGAAUAGCCAUCUCUGGUAGACAGGUGGAGGAAAGGUGGUGUAAUGGGGUGAUAGGAUGAGGUGAAUGGCAUGGGUGUAAAUAAUUAAUGGAU